GGGAAUGCUGAAUUGGGCCCUGCAUUUCAGCCAGCUGCUCUCUCCUUGCCAGCCCAGAGUGACCCAGCUGCUGGGCAGGGGUGGACACAUCCCGAGGGGCAGGAAUGACCAGCUUCCUGUGCUGAUCAGGACACUGGAUGAGCCAGGCCCUGCCACCUCACGGGAUCACUGGCCAGGCACUGCCCCCCGACACGUCUCCAGGACACCGGAGCUCCUCCAGCCACUCCAGCCCCGUGAGACUUCAACAGCGCUCAAGUAGCCGGGCAGGACUGGGAACCCAGUGCUCCACCAGGGACAUCUUCUCCGCAGACAGAAAAGGCUGUGACAAUUGUUGUCAGAGAAAUAAUUUUUCAUUUUAUUCAGUUAAUAAAAAAACCUUCAGAAAGACAGGCA